AUUUUCUCAAAACCUAACACCGCAUAGGCCACAGGGCGCCUCACUGGAUCCCCUUUCUCCCUCGUCUCGCCGCCGCCUAGGGUUCCGAUUCACGUCGUCGUCGCCGCCGCUGCCGCCGCCUCGGGUUCCAUUUCACGUCGCCACCGUCGACGGCAAUCGUAGGGGCCGUCCCUCCUUCCAUGUCGAUCCACCGCCAAAGUCGUCCCUCGUUCCACCACCAGCGACCCCAGUCGCGAGCGUGCGACCCUCCUUCCACUGGUCGCUGAGUGAGGCCACCUCGCCUGCUCCCUCCCAUGGCAGCACGCAAACCCAUGCCCAGCUCCUUCUUCCCUCCUUUCCAUGGCAACAGAUCUGAGGGGGGGACAAGGGCCUCUGCUCCCUCCGCAUCCAGCGACCUUGGAACAUGGUGGCAACGACAUGGGAAGAAGAAGGCCAUUCACAAGACCACAGCCACCGAUGACAAAAGGCUUCAAAGGACCUUGAAAAGGGUAGGAGUGAACACCGUUCUUGGUAUCAAAGAGAAUUGAGGAUCCACUUACACAUUUCUUCUAACAUUGGUGAUUCUUGAUUCCCCCCGGUGCAAGAAUCCAUCACUUCAAACACCUGGGUUGUCAGUGGAACACCGUGGUCUAAAAAACUGAGAAUUCUUCAAGAAGCUGCUUCUAUUAAUGCACAAUGGCGUCGUAGCCAGGUAAGAGGUACAUAGGCCUUUUCUGGUUGCUCGUCUAUACAUCAUCCUUUCAUUAGUCAUUUGUGAUUAGCAUAUGAAAGCACAAGCACGAUUGUACCUUUUUUAGAAUGAAGAAAAGAACCACACCAUCAGACUGACGUACAUUCAUACUACUAUAUUGCAGUCCAUUUCGGAUAGUAAGAUAGGUUACAAACUGAAUGUCAAACAGUUGGCUGGACAUUUUGCAUCAGUCCUGAUACCACUUAGAAGUUAGUUAGAACAAGUCUGUAUCUCUGGAGAUUUUCUGAAGUUUUAAGUGUGUACGGUGUACCUAACCUAUGUGCUGUGUGCCGCAGAAAUGGACUUUCUGAAACCUGUAAUACAUGGUGUCCUGGGAAUUCCUGGCUAUUUACAAUUCACCUCCCCUAUUCGAAGAUAUGCCGACCUGCUAGGUCAUUAUUAGCCAGAUCGCCGCCCCUGCCCUCGCGCUCCAGGUAGAGGCUCGUUCUUCCUGGUGGUUGUUCACUCUUGGCGACUACGCGUCCCUCCCGGUGGUGGCGCUCUACCCACUGCGUCGCCUUUUUCCCAGCGGCUGUGCCGUUUGACACCUACCUCUAACCAAUUGAUUCGGCAAUAGAGAGUGGAAGCUGCAAAGAAGCGUGAUGAGGAAAAAGCCGGAAUGACAUACAAGAGGACUAGGGAGGAACCAUUAAGAUGGCAGUUUGCAUCAGCUAGACAUUUUGUGUAAUGGAGCAAGAACAAUGUGUCUUUUAGUUAUCAUUUUGUAAACCUAUAUGGUGUCUUGUCAACUGGGUAUUUUUGUCAUGGAGCAAGCAAUGAAUCGUCGGACAUGCAUCUAUCAUUUUGUAAACCUAUCAGGUGUCUUGGUGGCUGAAACAUAAAUGCUUCCUCUUAGUUAGUUACCUAUAUUCUUCUUUGGUCC